rnacentral:sRNA from 1 species
GUAUGUUAUUGGAAUGGUUGAUGGCGCAGAAUCCCCAAGGCAAAACCUAUAAAACGGACACCGAUGACAAAUGCAGCAUAUUUAUAACUUGCCUAGUAUGUGCAUACAAUCUGCAAUGCUUUUCUAUCUCAAAAGUCUGACAUAGAUACCGGAUUGAACUCAACUGAACUUGUCACAACAGUGGACAAUGGAGAAUCGAACUCAACACCACCCAAUUGCACAUCCCUUUCAUUGACAGAAAUCCUCAGAUGCUACGGGGGUGUUAUACCAUUCAACCAAAUGCCCCUGAGUUGAUGUUGCAACGAAAAAAUUAAACGCAAUUUACAAACCUUCACAUACAUGUGCCUGGAUUUUCAUAUCUCAUCUCAAUUAUUCAUUUAAUCAGGCUUAUUUUUGCUACACAUUAUUAACAAAAUUAUGUUCAGAUUCAUCAUUGACAAGCUGUUUUGGAUAAAUAUUUUGAAUAAACAAGAUAAAACAUGUCCCUGCAGCAGAAUUAGAUCUCAAACGGAGCUGUUGACAAACCAGCCAACAAACUAAUCAAUUCCAGUGGACAGGAACUCAACGAUGUUCGCCAGGACUGCAAUUCGAAACUAUAAUAAAUCUAAACUCAGCUUCAUAUACGGUAUCUGGGUGCUCAAGACCAUGCUAUUUUGUUGUUGCAUAUUUGCGUGAUCAUCACAUCAUCAUGCUGGAUCUGAAAUCCAACUAUUCAAUAGGUGUAGCCUAUUCACUCUUGGAAGUCGGGCCUGACAUCUGCUUGCAACAAGAAAGCAUUCAUCCUUAGAUAGGAGGAAGAAAGGGAGGGUGUCUGCCAAAAAAUACAUGUAUAUUCAGGCUUCGAACACUUAAGAGGAGGCUCAAUCCAACUAGUUACAAAUCGAGGUGGAUUAUAAUAAUAAUAAAAUGUCCACAUUUACAGCGAUGGUUGUAGUCACACAUACGUAUAAUUUUUCUCUCAAAA